GGUCUUGACAUCCCGGAGACCCUUAGGAAACUAGGGGGUGCUUCCAUCUGGAAGAAUCUGGAGACAGGUGCUGCAUGGCUGUCGUCAGCUCGUGUCGUGAGAUGUUGGGUUAAGUCCCCGCAACGAGCGCAACCCUUGCCUUUAGUUGCCAGCAGUUCGGCUGGGCACUCUAAAGGGACUGCCGGUGUUAAACCGGAGGAAGGUGGGGAUGACGUCAAGUCCUCAUGGCCUUUAUGACCAGGGCUACACACGUACUACAAUGGCCGAUACAAAGGGCAGCGACACUGCGAGGUGAAGCCAAUCCCGUAAAAUCGGUCUCAGUCCGGAUUGGAGUCUGCAACUCGACUCCAUGAAGUUGGAAUCGCUAGUAAUCGUGGAUCAGCAUGCCACGGUGAAUACGGUUCCCGGGCCUU
rnacentral:rRNA from 1 species